UCUUCAGUUCCCAGGGGAAAGUGAAGUCCAAUUUUCCUUCAUCCUCUGAAAGGGCUUCUGCUGAACUGAAUGAAAGCCAUUCCACUGUUACAUGUAGCUACAUGCUAACAUGAGGGAAACCUGUAAUGUCAGAUUUUAAUAUUAAAGAGAGGCUCUGCAGGCUGUUUCCUGACAGAGAGGAGGCAAUCAAGCAGCAGUCCAAAUGGAUCAAAGUACUAACUCUGAAAGACAGCCAGGCAAAUGAGAGCCAAUGUAACCAAACAACA